rnacentral:rRNA from 1 species
AAUACGGAGGGUCCAAGCGUUAUCCGGAAUCAUUGGGUUUAAAGGGUCCGUAGGCGGGCUAAUAAGUCAGAGGUGAAAGUUUGCAGCUCAACUGUAAAAUUGCCUUUGAUACUGUUAGUCUUGAGUUAUAGUGAAGUGGUUAGAAUAAGUGGUGUAGCGGUGAAAUGCAUAGAUAUCACUUAGAAUACCGAUUGCGAAGGCAGAUCACUAACUGUAUACUGACGCUGAGGGACGAAAGCAUGGGYAGCGAACGGGAUUAGAUACCCCGGUAGUCCAUGCUGUAAACGAUGAUUACUCGGUAUUGGCUUCGGUCAGUGGCUAAGCGAAAGUGAUAAGUAUCCCACCUGGGGAGUACGUUCGCAAGAAUGAAACUCAAAGGAAUUGACGGGGGCCCGCACAAGCGGUGGAGCAUGUGGUUUAAUUCGAUGAUACGCGAGGAACCUUACCAGGGCUUAAAUGGGAGGUGACAGGGGCAGAGACGCCCUUUUCUUCGGACAUCUUUCAAGGUGCUGCAUGGUUGUCGUCAGCUCGUGCCGUGAGGUGUCAGGUUAAGUCCUAUAACGAGCGCAACCCCUACCGUUAGUUGCCAGCGAUUCAAGUCGGGGACUCUAACGGGACUGCCGGUGCAAACCGUGAGGAAGGUGGGGACGACGUCAAAUCAUCACGGCCCUUACGUCCUGGGCUACACACGUGCUACAAUGGUCGGUACAGAGGGAAGCUACCCCGCAAGGGGAUGCGGAUCUAUAAAACCGAUCUCAGUUCGGAUCGGGGUCUGCAACUCGACCCCGUGAAGCUGGAAUCGCUAGUAAUCGGAUAUCAGCCAUGAUCCGGUGAAUACGUUCCCGGGCCUUGUACACACCGCCCGUCAAGCCAUGGAAGCUGGGGGUGCCUGAAGUCCGUCACCGCAAGGAGCGGCCUAGGGCAAGACUAGU